GACGAACGCUUGCGACGUGCCUAAGAAAUGCAAGUCGAACGAGGUAGCAAUACCUAGUGGCGAACGGUCGCGUAACACGUGGGCAACCUGCCCUAGAGUGGGGAUAACAAUCCGAAAGGAUUGCUAAUACCGCAUGUGAACACUGAAGGCAUCUUUGGAUAUUCAAAGGAUUUAUUCGCUCUAGGAUGGGCCCGCGGCCUAUCAGCUAGUUGGUGAGGUAACGGCCCACCAAGGCUUCGACGGUAGCCUGGUCUGGAGAGGACGAUCAGCCGGAUUGGGACUGGAGAUACGGCCCAGGACUCC
rnacentral:rRNA from 1 species